GACGUCGAAUAUCGACGUCAUAAACACCAAAGUUGAUCGUGUUUAUGACGUCGAAUAUCGAUGUCAUAAACACCAAAGUUGAUCGUUUUUAUGACGUCGUAUAUCGACGUCAUAAAGAUCAAAGUUGAUCGUGUUUAUGACGUCGUAUAUCAACGUCAUCAACAUCAAAGUUGAUCGUGUUUAUGACGUCGAAUAUCGACGUU